rnacentral:lncRNA from 1 species
CACUCCGGCGUAGACCACGAAGACCCAGGCAGCCGCCCUCGAGCCGGGGCCAGGGCGUGGCCGGCGCGGGGGCCCAGCGACGCUGGGAUCUCCGCUCUGCGUCCCUCCCGGCUCUCUGACGUCUCCCCCGCCCGAAUCCCCGCACCGCCCCCCGCAAGCCCUACAACCUCUGCUUUAAGAACCCUUGGAGGCACUGCUGCGCUUCCCGCGAGGAGAAUGUGGGGGUGGAGAUGGUGCGGUUUCUGCUGCUGCGGCCCGGGACACGCUUGGAAAGGGGCGGGGUGGGGGACUGAGAGUGUGGAGUGUAGAAAGGGAAAAGGUGACUCGGCUGUGUGACGGGGCGAUGGGGGGGGUACAAGAUGGCGUGAGCCCGACUCUCGGUGGGGCGGGGGUUGCGGAGACUGAGGAGUAAGCGAUACGGACGCCCCCCGCACUGGCAGUGCGGGCGCAUGCGCGCUUGGCCAGGUGGCGCGCGCUCUCCCAGCCCGAGCGAGCUACUUCCGCCACGCUCGCCGGGGGCGGGGCGUUGUGCGCGGCCUUCAGGGCCCGGCUUGGGCAGCGCUGAGCCACGCGGCGGCGUUUAGAGCUGGGGACGCUGGGAGCGGAGUGGGGACGAGCUGAGAUCGGUCAGGGUGUACAGGGUGCAGGCUUGAAUUCUUUAGGAAUUGGGCCCGAGAGGGCUAGGAUUUUUGAAGGAUUGGGUGACCGGCACUGGAAGUUGAUUUUCAACUCCGAGGAAGAGAUUCACCGUUCUAAGCUUCUUUCCAGGAAUUGGAGUGAACGGGAUCUUAAUGGGAUUGCGCGUUUACAAUGGUGAAGGGAAACGGAGGGGUCUGAACGCUCCCCGCAGGGCCGCAGUACAGGCGUGUGGAUGUGGAACCCUUUCUGGGACGGCGAAACCAGCUCUUACGCCGCUUCCGCGCGCCAUCACUCCCUACCCUGACCUCGCACAGAAUCUGUUUCAUUAAUCUGCUAUUAAUGUUUUUUCCCCAACUCAUGUUACUAGACGCAGGCGUUUAACUACCAUGUUUUGUUAUUGAAAACUUUUUCUACUUGAAGGCUUUUUUUUUUUUUUGGACGAUUCUGUGUUUAGAUUUUGGCCUGUUCCUCAUUUUAAAAUCUUGCACCCCCAGUAUUGUACUGUACAUUCUGUCCUGCCACAUUUAAUUGAUAUAGAUGUAGUUCUUUAAAUAAUACAGUAGUCGUAAGACAAUGCUUUCAGUCUUUCACUCUUUAUAUUAUAUGAAGUCUUAUUUAUAUUUAACAUUCUUAUUGCCUGCUUAGAGAAGAAAACUGGUUAUCCAUGCUCACCUUCACACCUGUGUUGUCAAAUACUAUAAAAUACUGUAUUUUAUAGGGAUUCAAGUAUUAACCCUCACCAAGUCUUUUUAAGCAUCACUGCUUCAGUUAUUUUCUUGCCUAUAGAUACUCGAUUCUUCUGCCUCAGCCUCCUGAGUAGCUGGGAUUACAGGCGUGUGCCACCACGCCCGGGUAAUUUUUGUAUUUUUAAUAGAGACGGGGUUUCACCAUGUUGGUCAGGCUGGUCUCAAACUCCUGACCUUGUGAUCUGCCUGCCUCGGCCUCCCAAAGUGCUGGGAUUACAGGUGUCAGCCACCGCACCCGGCCAGAAGUGGUUUCUUCUCAUGUGGAUGCUACAGUGACAGUUCAGGUGACUUGGAAAUUCUUUGUUGUUUGAGAUUCAUAACUCUUACUUGCUAGGAUGUUUGUGGGGACUUUUUAUUUUCUAUUUAUCAAUUAUUUCAUCCUUUGCUAUAUUUGCCUUCUAUUUUUAAUGCUUAAGUUGUCACCAUGGAAAUAAACUGGGUAGAUUGCAUAUUGUUUAGAACCG